UGUAAGAUGACUGAGUUAUAGGUAUUAAUUUGUAAAGUUAACAACGAAGAAGUUUCUUCUCUUACAA
rnacentral:tRNA from 1 species